UACAGAGGGUGCGAGCGUUAAUCGGAAUUACUGGGCGUAAAGCGUGCGUAGGCGGUCGCGUAAGUCAGAUGUGAAAGCCCCGGGCUCAACCUGGGAACUGCAUUUGAGACUGCUCUGCUCGGGUGCGGAAGAGGGAAGCGGAAUUUCCGGUGUAGCGGUGAAAUGCGUAGAUAUCGGAAGGAACACCAGUGGCGAAAGCGGCUUCCUGGUCCGACACCGACGUUCAGGCACGAAAGCGUGGGGAGCAAACAGG
rnacentral:rRNA from 1 species